CUGAAGAUGGCGACCGGCGCACGGGUGAGUAACACGUAUCCAACCUGCCGAUAACUCUGGAAUAGCCUUUCGAAAGAAAGAUUAAUACCGGAUAGUAUACGAAUAUCGCAUGAUAUUUUUAUUAAAGAAUUUCGGUUAUCGAUGGGGAUGCGUUCCAUUAGUUUGUUGGCGGGGUAACGGCCCACCAAGACUACGAUGGAUAGGGGUUCUGAGAGGAAGGUCCCCCACAUUGGAACUGAGACACGGUCCAAACUCCUACGGGAGGCAGCAUG
rnacentral:rRNA from 1 species